rnacentral:tRNA from 1 species
CAGAGUGUAGUUUAUAAAAAUAUUAAUUUUGGGAAUUAAUGAAAAGGAAAAUUCUUUCUCUCUGA